rnacentral:rRNA from 1 species
GAUGAACGCUGGCGGCGUGCCUAAUACAUGCAAGUCGAGCGAACGGACGAGAAGCUUGCUUUUCUGAUGUUAGCGGCGGACGGGUGAGUAACACGUGGAUAACCUACCUAUAAGACUGGGAUAACUUCGGGAAACCGGAGCUAAUACCGGAUAAUAUUUUGAACCGCAUGGUUCAAAAGUGAAAGACGGUCUUGCUGUCACUUAUAGAUGGAUCCGCGCUGCAUUAGCUAGUUGGUAAGGUAACGGCUUACCAAGGCAACGAUGCAUAGCCGACCUGAGAGGGUGAUCGGCCACACUGGAACUGAGACACGGUCCAGACUCCUACGGGAGGCAGCAGUAGGGAAUCUUCCGCAAUGGGCGAAAGCCUGACGGAGCAACGCCGCGUGAGUGAUGAAGGUCUUCGGAUCGUAAAACUCUGUUAUUAGGGAAGACCAUAUGUGUAAGUAACUGUGCACAUCUUGACGGUACCUAAUCAGAAAGCCACGGCUAACUACGUG